rnacentral:rRNA from 1 species
AUUGAACGCUGGCGGCAGGCCUAACACAUGCAAGUCGAGCGGAUGAAGGGAGCUUGCUCCUGGAUUCAGCGGCGGACGGGUGAGUAAUGCCUAGGAAUCUGCCUGGUAGUGGGGGAUAACGUCCGGAAACGGGCGCUAAUACCGCAUACGUCCUGAGGGAGAAAGUGGGGGAUCUUCGGACCUCACGCUAUCAGAUGAGCCUAGGUCGGAUUAGCUAGUUGGUGGGGUAAAGGCCUACCAAGGCGACGAUCCGUAACUGGUCUGAGAGGAUGAUCAGUCACUCUGGAACUGAGACGCGGUCCAGACUCCUACGGGAGGCAGCAGUGGGGAAUCUUGGACAAUGGGCGAAAGCCUGAUCCAGCCAUGCCGCGUGUGUGAAGAAGGUCUUCGGAUUGUAAAGCACUUUAAGUUGGGAGGAAGGGCAGUAAGUUAAUACCUUGCUGUUUGGACGUUACCAACAGAAUAAGCACCGGCUAACUUCGU